AUAUGCUUGUCCCAAAGAUUAAGCCAUGCAUGCUGCGAUUCCGUAAAAAUCUGCGAACAGCUCCGUAUAUCUGUUGUCACCAGUAACGCCCAUAUGCGCCGUCGUCCGGCUGAUCGGAUAGACGCGGUAAUUCUGCUUGUAAUACGUGUUCACCGCCGGGAGUGUGUCCGGCCCUCACGGGCUGGGCUUCUCCACAUUCCGGCUGGAGUCCCAAGGCAUCAAUCCCGCUCCGGCGGGGGAGGAGUCCCCGGGACAGAACCACAGAAGGCCUUCGAGGCCCUCGUAGGCGCUGGGCUUCAGACCUAUCAACUGUGGAGGCUGGGUAAGGUCCAGCCUCGGUGAUAACGGGUACAGAGGAUCAGGGUUCGGUCCUGGAGAGGUAGCCUGAGAGAUAGCUACUACUUCUAAGGAAGGCAGCAGGCGCGCAACGUUCCCAAUGGUUUGCCACCCCGUGGCUGAGGACGUUAAGGGACAUAACAAUGCCCUGCCCUUUCGGGCGGGGUAAUUGUAAUGGGGGCGUUCUAAACCCCCCACCGAGUAGCA
rnacentral:rRNA from 1 species